rnacentral:rRNA from 1 species
ACGCUCGACACCUACGGGAGCAGCAGUGAGGAAUAUUGGUCAAUGGGCGCAGGCCUGAACCAGCCAAGUAGCGUGAAGGAUGACUGCCCUAUGGGUUGUAAACUUCUUUUAUAUGGGAAUAAAGUUUUCCACGUGUGGAAUUUUGUAUGUACCAUAUGAAUAAGGAUCGGCUAACUCCGUGCCGGCAGCCGCGGUAAUCUGAGCGGGCUGGCAAGGC